rnacentral:rRNA from 1 species
GAUGAACGCUGGCGGCGUGCCUAAUACAUGCAAGUCGAGCGGUAACACUUCGGGUGACGAGCGGCGGACGGCAGAGUAACGCGUAGGAAUGUACCCCAAACUGAGGGAUAACUGCCCGAAAGGGUAGCUAAUACCGCAUGUGAUCUUCGGAUUAAAGCUUUUAGCGGUUUGGGAACGGCCUGCGUAUGAUUAGCUUGUUGUGAGGUAAUGGCUCACCAAGGCGACGAUCAUUAGCUGGUCUGAGAGGAUGAUCAGCCUGACUGGGACUGAGACACGGCCCAGACUCCUACGGGAGGCAGCAGUAGGGAAUUUUCCACAAUGGGCGAAAGCCUGAUGGAGCAACGCCGCGUGCAGGAUGAAUGCCUUCGGGUUGUAAACUGCUUUUGUUUGUGACGAUUAUGACGGUAACAAGCGAAUAAGGGUCUGCUAACUACGUGCCAGCCGCCGCGGUAA